AACGAACGUUAGCGGCGCGCCUAACACAUGCAAGUCGAACGCGACAGGGGCAACUCUGUUGAGUGGCGCACGGGUGAGUAACACGUAGGUAAUCUCCCCCCGAGUGGUGGAUAACCUUCCGAAAGGAGGGCUAAUACAGCAUAAGACCACGGCUUCGAAAGGAGCUGAGGUCAAAGCGGAGGAUCGCAAGACUUCGCGCUUGGGGAUGAGCCUGCGGCCCAUCAGGUAGUUGGCGGGGUAACAGCCCACCAAGCCUAAGACGGGUAGCUGGUCUGAGAGCAAGAGCAGGCACCAUGGAACUGAGACACGGUCCAGCAUCCUACGGGAGGCAGCAGUGGGGAAUCUUGCGCAAUGGACGAAAGUCUGAGGCAGCGACGCCGCGUGGGUGAUGAAGGCCGUCGGGUUGUAAAGCCCUGUGGGGAGGGACGAAUAAGUUUCAGCUAAUACCUGAAGCGAUGACGGUACCUCCUUAGCAAGCACCGGCUAACUCUGUGCCAGCCGCCGCAGUAA
rnacentral:rRNA from 1 species